AGCUCAACUGAGGCUCCGCAAAAGAAACUUCUAGACUUGAGGAAAGUAGAGGUACAGGGAAUUUCCGGUGGAGCGGUGAAAUGCGUAGAUAUCGGAAGGAACACCAAUAUGGCGAAGGCACUGUACUGGGCUUUUCCUGACGCUCAGAGACGAAAGCUGAAGGAGUGAUUAGGAUUAGAUACCCUAGUAAUUUCAGCCGUAAACGAUGAAAACUCACUGUCGAGCCAAUAUAUGGAGCGGUGGUCAAGCUAACGCGUGAAGUUUUCCGCCUGGGGAUUACGCUUGCAAAAGUGAAACUCAAAGGAAUUGACGGGGACCCGCACAAGCGGUGGAGUAUGUGGUUUAAUUCGAUGCAACGCGAAAAACCUUACCAGGGUUUGAAAUAAUUUCAAAACUUCUUGAAAGAGAAGCCUCCUUCGGGAUGGGAUUACAGGUGGUGCAUGGCUGUCGUCAGCUCGUGUUGUGAAAUGUCAAGUUAAGUCUUGUAACGAGCGCAACCCAUGUCUCUUGUUGCUGUUUACAGUGCUUAAGAGAAACUGCCGAUCAACAUCGGAGGAAGGUGUGGAUGAUGUCAAGUCAGCAUGCCCCUUACAUCCUGGGCUACACACGUACUACAAUGGUCGAGACAAAGGGUCGCUAACCUGCGAAGGUAUGCCAAUCUCAUAAACUCGAUCUCAGUUCGGAUUGUACGCUGCAACUCGCUAACGU
rnacentral:rRNA from 1 species